rnacentral:rRNA from 1 species
UGCCAGCAGCCGCGGUAAUACGGAGGGUGCUAGCGUUGUUCGGAAUUACUGGGCGUAAAGCGCGCGUAGGCGGUGUAGCAAGUUGAGAGUGAAAUCCCGGAGCUGAACUCCGGAACUGCUCUCAAAACUGUUACACUAGAGUAUGGUAGGGGACAGUGGAAUUCCUAGUGUAGAGGUGAAAUUCGUAGAUAUUAGGAGGAACACCAGAGGCGAAGGCGACUGUCUGGACCAUUACUGACGCUAAGGCGCGAAAGCGUAAAGAGCAAACAGGAUUAGAUA